rnacentral:rRNA from 1 species
CCUACGGGGUGCAGCAGUGGAGAAUAAUUCACAAUGGGGGAAACCCUGAUGCUGCGACGCCGCGUGAGGGAAUGAGGAUUUCGGGAUGGAAAGCUCUAUCAGCAGGGAAGAAAAUGACGGUAACAGAUUAAGAAGAGGCAGCUAACUACGGGCCAGCAGCCGCGGGAGUACGUAGGGGGCAAUCGUUAGCCGGAUUUACUGGGUGUAAAGGGAGCGUGGGCGGAUGCAUAAGCCGGGAGAGAAAUGCCGGGGCUUAACCCCCGAACUGCUUAGGAUACUGUGAAGAUAGAGUGCAGGAGAGGGAAGUGGAAUUCCUAGUGUAGCGGUGAAAUGCGUAGAUAUUAGGAGGAACACUAGUGGCGAAGGCGACUUCCUGGACUUUAACUGACGUUGAGGCUCGAAGGCGUGGGGAGCAAACAGGAUUAGAUACCCUAGUAGUC